AUUGAACGCUGGCGGCAUGCUUUACACAUGCAAGUCGAACGGUAACAGGCCGCAAGGUGCUGACGAGUGGCGAACGGGUGAGUAAUGCAUCGGAACGUGCCCAGUCGUGGGGGAUAACGCAGCGAAAGCUGUGCUAAUACCGCAUACGAUCUAUGGAUGAAAGCGGGGGACCGUAAGGCCUCGCGCGAUUGGAGCGGCCGAUGUCAGAUUAGGUAGUUGGUGGGGUAAAGGCCUACCAAGCCGACGAUCUGUAGCUGGUCUGAGAGGACGACUAGCCACACUGGGACUGAGACACGGCCCAGACUCCUACGGGAGGCAGCAGUGGGGAAUUUUGGACAAUGGGCGCAAGCCUGAUCCAGCAAUGCCGCGUGCAGGAAGAAGGCCUUCGGGUUGUAAACUGCUUUAGUACGGAACGAAACGGCCUGGGUUAAUACCCUGGGCUAAUGACGGUACCGUAAGAAUAAGCACCGGCUAACUACGUGCCAGCCGCCGCAGUAAUAC
rnacentral:rRNA from 1 species